GGCCAGCGUCGUUACCAAUCCCGGCAGAGCCUGCAGUUCGCCAAUAUCCCAUAGUGUGAGUUACAUGUCGUUGUCAGUGACAACGCGAUUAUCAGUGUGAGUGAGUGCGCUACGUCAUUGGUGUGUGUACCAACGUUAGCAUUUGGUGAGCGUGAUGUAGGUCUACUUGGUACACGACCGUAAGUGAUGAACAUGUGUUGUCCCUUACCUCGAUUUGCGCCACAAUAGUGUGUGUAUCUAAGAACAUCUCGUGUUCCCCAAGCUAUGGUCUAUCGUUCAGAUCCAGAGAGGGCUAGAAGCAUAUGUGACGUGAGUGUGUAG